rnacentral:rRNA from 1 species
UACAGAGGGGGCAAGCGUUGUUCGGAAUUACUGGGCGUAAAGGGCGCGUAGGCGGCCCGCUAAGUCGAACGUGAAAUCCCCAGGCUCAACCUGGGAACUGCGUCCGAUACUGGCAGGCUUGAAUCCGGGAGAGGGAUGUGGAAUUCCAGGUGUAGCGGUGAAAUGCGUAGAUAUCUGGAGGAACACCCGGUGGCGAAGGCGGCAUCCUGGACCGGUAUUGACGCUGAGG